CACCCAGGUGCCCCAAUUCAACAAAUUCUUAUCGGGCACCUGGCCGCCGUGCAGCCUCUGCCCACAUGAUCCACGGCCGUGAAAUGGACCUGAUGUCAGAGUGGCCGGAACCGACUGCCAUAAUGCUGCCUCUCAGCCCGUUUGCUGUCAGUGGGGAGCAAAGGAACACAGGCGUGGAGAGAAGAGGAAGGGGACACUGCCACGAAGAAGUCUGCCCCCAUCUCCCCAGCCAGGCUGGGAUCUCCCCCCGUCCCGGGUAGUUGCUCUGCACCCCUUCAGCAUGGACCCCAACCAGCCCGGCUUGGUCUCUGUACCCCACCCCUGCUUCCUGUCCAUCUCCCCUUGGCCCCGCUCAGCACCAACUCCAGGACAGCCACCGACUGAGACCCAUGCUGCCUUUGGAGUCCUGUGGACCCUUCUGUGAAGCCCAGCCCUGCCUCAGAGCAGCUCCGUGACCUCAGUAAGAGGCUCCACCUCUCUGAGCCUCCUUCCUUCCCUAUAGUAGCAGGGUUAGCAGCUGGCCCCAAAGUCUGAUUCUGACCCCCCUCGCCCACUUACUGCUGUGGCCCCCUGAAAAAGUAACUCAGCCUCCCUAGACUCAGUCUCCUCAUCUGUAAAAUGGGGACCGCAACUGCACCUCAGUGAUUUGAGAAUUCACUGAGAAAAUACACAAACAAUGCUCAGAGCAGUGAGUGGGACAUAGCAAACGUUCCAGGUGUUUUGGCCACGGUUAUUAUGAUCCUGGCCUCUUAGGACGGCUGCAGUGUGCAAGGUCCUGCCCCAGGGACCCCAGCCCCAAAUGCCAGGUUGGCAGCCCCACAUACAGCCUGGUCUCUGUCCCUCCCACCACCAGCCCGUUGGACUGGGCACUCUGCUUUGCAUGCCUCCCCUCCACCCAUCAUGGACACGGUGUGUGCUGAUGUCUGUUGAGCAAACGAAACAAAAGACGGAAUGCAUAAAAAGAAGGCCGAGCGGGUGAAAUGCAGGGUCUGCUCGUUGGGUCACCAUUCAUUCAUUUAUUCAGCUACGACCUGCUGAGCACCUGCUGUUGGAGGCGCCGGAGAUCCAGCAGCAAACACAACAGGGAAAACGGCUGCCAGGGUAGAGGGGACACUCUCCUAGGGGAGCCAGACCCCAAAGGAAAUGAACAGUGACACAGAGAGAGUGCUGGUUCAUGAUAAAUGCCAGAAAAACACGUCCAGCAGGGAGAGGGAGGGGGGUACUGGAGAGGCUGUCAGCCAGGGAGGCCCCGCAGAGAAGGGGCUAUCUGAGCAAAGAUUUAAAGGAGGUGGGGCCGGGCGCCUGGGCGGCUCCUACGAUUAAGCUUCCAACUUAG